UGGGGAAUAUUGCACAAUGGGCGCAAGCCUGAUGCAGCCAUGCCGCGUGUAUGAAGAAGGCCUUCGGGUUGUAAAGUACUUUCAGCGGGGAGGAAGGGAGUAAAGUUAAUACCUUUGCUCAUUGACGUUACCCGCAGAAGAAGCACCGGCUAACUCCGUGCCAGCAGCUGCGGUAAUACGGAGGGUGCAAGCGUUAAUCGGAAUUACUGGGCGUAAAGCGCACGCAGGCGGUUUGUUAAGUCAGAUGUGAAAUCCUCGGGCUCAACCUGGGAACUGCAUCUGAUACUGGCAAGCUUGAGUCUCGUAGAGGGAAGUAGAAUUCCAGGUGUAGCGGUGAAAUGCGUAGAGAUCUGGAGGAAUACCGGUGGCGAAGGCGGCCCCCUGGACGACGACUGACGCUCAGGUGCGAAAGCGUGGGGAGCAAACAGG
rnacentral:rRNA from 1 species